GAUGAACGCUAGCGGCAGGCCUAAUACAUGCAAGUCGAACGGGAUCUGAGGGUAGCUUGCUACCCGAUUUGAGAGUGGCGCACGGGUGCGUAACGCGUGAGCAACCUACCCAUAUCAGGGGGAUAGCCCGAAGAAAUUCGGAUUAACACCGCAUAAUAAUACGCUAACACAUGUUGAUGUAUUUAAAUAUUUAUAGGAUAUGGAUGGGCUCGCGUGACAUUAGCUAGUUGGUAAGGUAACGGCUUACCAAGGCGACGAUGGCUAGGGGCUCUGAGAAGAGAAACCCCCACACUGGUACUGAGACACGGACCAGACUCCUACGGGAGGCAGCAGUAAGGAAUAUUGGUCAAUGGGCGCAAGCCUGAACCAGCCAUGCCGCGUGCAGGAUGACUGCCCUAUGGGUUGUAAACUGCUUUUGUUAGGGAAUAAACCUUCUUACGUGUAAGGAGCUGAAUGUACCUAAAGAAUAAGGAUCGGCUAACUCCGUGCCAGCAGCCGCAGUAA
rnacentral:rRNA from 1 species